rnacentral:rRNA from 1 species
CCUACGGGGGGCUGCAGUGGGGAAUAUUGGACAAUGGGGGGAACCCUGAUCCAGCCAUGCCGCGUGUGUGAAGAAGGCCCUCGGGUUGUAAAGCACUUUCAGUGAGGAAGAACGCCUGGUGGUUAAUACCCAUCAGGAAAGACAUCACUCACAGAAGAAGCACCGGCUAACUCCGUGCCAGCAGCCGCGGUAAUACGGAGGGUGCGAGCGUUAAUCGGAAUUACUGGGCGUAAAGCGCGCGUAGGUGGCUUGAUAAGCCGGUUGUGAAAGCCCCGGGCUCAACCGGGGAACGGCAUCCGGAACUGUCAAGCUAGAGUGCAGGAGAGGAAGGUAGAAUUCCCGGUGUAGCGGUGAAAUGCGUAGAGAUCGGGAGGAAUACCAGUGGCGAAGGCGGCCUUCUGGACUGACACUGACACUGAGGUGCGAAAGCGUGGGUAGCAAACAGGAUUAGAUACCCCAGUAGUC